rnacentral:rRNA from 1 species
AGAGUUUGAUCAUGGCUCAGGACGAACGCUGGCGGCGUGCUUAACACAUGCAAGUCGAGCGGUAAGGCCCUUUCGGGGGUACACGAGCGGCGAACGGGUGAGUAACACGUGGGUGACCUGCCCUCAGCUCUGGGAUAAGCCUGGGAAACUGGGUCUAAUACCGGAUAUGACUCCAUGACGCAUGUUGUGGGGUGGAAAGCCUUGUGCGGCUGAGGAUGGGCCCGCGGCCUAUCAGCUUGUUGGUGGGGUGAUGGCCUACCAAGGCGACGACGGGUAGCCGGCCUGAGAGGGCGACCGGCCACACUGGGACUGAGAUACGGCCCAGACUCCUACGGGAGGCAGCAGUGGGGAAUAUUGCGCAAUGGGGGAAACCCUGACGCAGCAACGCCGCGUGGGUGAUGAAGGCCUUCGGGUCGUAAAGCCCUGUCGGGAGGAAAGAAUUGGUUGGGGUCGAAUAGGCCUUGAUCUUGACGGUACCUCCAAAGGAAGCACCGGCCAACUCCGUGCCAGCAGCCGCGGUAAU